UGGUCAGGGAUGAAAUCAUAAGGAGUUGAUUUCUUAAGCUAAAUCAGUUCCUGGGUGGAAGCCGCAAGAUCAGAUGAGCCGGUUCAUUGGUCUGGGUGGAACCAGCUAAUCCAUCAAGUGCAACGCCUACAAAAUAUCUCAAGCACAGAUCUUAGGAGCAGUUUAGGGAGAGUCAGAAUCUUGUAGCCUCCAGCUGCAGUCCUAAACCAUGAUUCCUAAUCCUGUGGCUGCUGAUAGUCCCACAAAGACAAUCUAGUCCUCAGGCAAGAAGGAGGUCUGCUUUGGGAAAGAACUGUUACUGUCCUUGUUUAAACUAUCAACUAUAAAGUCCAAAAGGGAGUGUGGUUUCAAAGGCAAGGCCUUCCCAGUGCCAUACCUCCACUUACUUCUCCAUCCAGGAGCUUAGAGGUCUUUGUUUAACUUUCACGCAUGCGGGAAGAUGGACUGCCCAGAGAUGAUGAUACGGAGGCCGAGAAAUUCAGAGAAUUUUCUAACAUUGAUAUAGGACCAACACCUCUGGCACAGACUAUCCAGGAAGGGCCACUGUGUUGCUCAGCUCUGCAAGGGACUACUCAAGUUGUGUGCUAUGUAUGUGGCUGGUACCCUUUGCAACAUAAUUCCAGACAUGGUUUUAUGCACAGGCUCAAUUUCUUACCAAUAUUUCUGAGUCAAAAUUCAGGACCUACAGAAGUGUCUCUGAAGGCAGGUAAACAUCAAAAAGCCAGUUACAUUCUUCCAAAAGUACCUAUUCUUGUAUUUAACGUGACCUAGUUCAAAUUUUCUAUCAUUGUCAGGUUUUGUCCACUCAAAAUAUCACUAUAAAGUAUAGCAUCUAAUUAUUUUAUUAUUUGUUGCUAA